CCGACACUUUUCUAGACUUUGCCAUGUCAGGCAUCUCCUUCCCUUCCCUGGUCCCCCAUCUUUCCCCACCGCCCCUCCUCCCCCUACAACCUGACCACAUUCAUCCCGUCUCCUCGCCAUCGAAGACCUCCACGAGGACCUCUACAGGUCUAUCUUCGCGCUCUACCUCGCUGGCCGUUGCAGGGCCUCCUGGAGUUCAUUGCCUCGACAGAUUGGUCACACGCGAGGCUCGACAUCAAGCGCCACUGCGGCGAGCACCUCGACCCACAUUUAAUGAACCCCUUUGUUAGUGUGUCCUUCUGUGGCGUCAAGCCAGAGUUCUGAUAUGGGAUCUGAUCUCGUGUCGCACCCGCAAAACUCGAUAUCAAGCGCUGUUGCGGCAAGCACCUCCAUCCGCAGCUAUGGAACCCUUUCGUCGACGUGACCAGGUCCUUCCCUGGGGUCAAGCGAGAGUUCUAAGAUACGAUGUAGUCCCACCUUGCUACCCUUCCCCAAUGGCCCCAUUGCAUGUUGGCUCCUGGCUGACCUCUGUACCAUGCGACUCCCUUGCGCGGCCGCGCGUGAACACUGUCGCCUCGCUCCCAGAUCCUUAUCUGGGGAUUGCAGCUGCUUCAGAUACAUGACUACCAGGUUUAUACUCUCAUCUUCUUGUCCCGGAUUUGGAUUAGCUUUGUUUCUUCAGUUGUUGCGGGAAGGUGUCUGAUUCGAGCGCAUAUUUGAGGAUUUGUGGAUUGUGUUGUUUUAUUUGUUCGCUGUUGUUCCUGUUCAGGUUUAGGAUCGUGGUUUUAUGGUCACUUUUUUGUGAGCCCGAACAUAGGUUUCUAUAACCAACUUAAUAGUAAAGAAAAUUUUAUGGUGCUACCGGAAGCAGCUGGCGGCUACUAGGGCAUGUCAUGACCAGACGUGGUCAGCUCAGUGAGUUGUGAUCCUGCAAUAACUCAAUUGGUGCUCCCUAGAGUUAUUGCAGAAUAUCAACUUAGAUUGGAUUCUCUCUUUGUUGUUCUACUGUCUUUUCUUAGUUAAGCACUUCAGCCAUAUGCCAUUCGUAAUGAAAUAGCUUUGGAUGUUGCAGAAAAUUUUGAUUGACAUAGAGAGUCCCAUUUUGACCUUUGUACCACUGCUUUAAUUUGAAUGUGGUACAAGGAGAAACAUACCAAAGUUCGAGGUAAGACACUGGAUCAUUUGAACUUUCUAGCGUUGUUUAGUUUCAUAUUUCUGCCAUCAUGCAUACUUAAAUUGUGAAAUGUGUAUAUGUAGUUCUUAACAUAUGUUAAGUAGCAUGUGGUUUUAGUUUUUUACCCUCUUCUAAAUUGGGAUAUAGUCUUUCCGUACCUUUAUGAUUGAGGUUAUAGCAGUUUUUUGUGCUCAAAUUAACAAAAAAGUAUAGAAUAACCACAUGCUUCUAUUAAACCUGCCUUUUUCUACUUUGCAACUUAAAUUAAUUCUCCUAAAAUGCAUACAUUUGCAUUGUUCAAAACUAUAAAUUUGUCGAUUGUUCCACUAUUUAAGAUACAUUUUUAGAUACUGUGAUUGAUCUCAUUAAACCAUGUUGGUUUCUACAACCAACUUAACAGUCAAGGAAAAUUUACAUUGGUACCGGACGCAGCUGGUGGCUACUAGGGCACGCCAUGAGCAAACACAGCCAGCUUAGUGACUUGAUAUCUUGCAAUAACUCUAUUGGUGCUCUCUAGAGUUAUUGCAGCAUAUCAACUUAGAUUGGAUUCUCUCUUUGUUGUUCUACUAUCUUCACUUAGUUCAGCCACAUGUCGUUCAUAAUGAAAUAGCUUUGGUUAUUGCAGAACUUUUGGUAGACAUAGCGGGUCCUAGUUUGGCCUUUCUACCAGUGCUUUCAUUUCAAUGCGGUACAAGGAGAAACAUACCAAAGUUUGAGAUUUAUGGCAUACACACAAUGAUACCAGUAUCAGUGUGUGUCUGUUGCCGGAGAUAGAAGGACUGACCUUCCUUGAGUGGACACACUUUAUCUUCCUGAAAAAAGUAAAGAUGGUGGAUUUCAUCUCCAUCAUGAGCAUGUUCUAGGUCAGGUCAAGGCUCUACACUUCUUUCAUCUGGUACUCUAAUUAGAUCUACUACAUAUUUAAAGGUGGAAUAGAUUGUAGGCUGAUAAACUUGGAUAUUUUUGAGCAUGUAAAGCUUUCGAAAGUCUUUUUACAGUCUGUCAAUUACGCCAGUUCGAACCAGGAAAUCCAGGCGCAUUGCUGCCAGAGUAGUAGUGCUAGACCUUUCUGUAGUAGUCAAUGUCACAGUUUUGCUUGAUCAAGCUUUGUUUACUGUCUUUGCUAAUUCCUAGCCACACAUGUAUUGCGCCAUUAUGUUGUCGUUCCUUCUCUACUCUGAAAUUACUAGCCACACAUUUGUUGUGUUAUUGUGCAUUUCUUCUGUUAUUUAUGCACUGUUACUCCAAUAAUUAUUGUCGAGCAUGCUGUCACUAUUACUGUGUUGGAUGCCAGGUUCUUUUUAUAGGAUAGCAAUAUAAGUUUGCAGUUGUAUUAAGUUGUUCCCUUGAUCUUAGAUAUGGAUUUAUUUUGGAA